rnacentral:rRNA from 1 species
AGUGAACGCUGGCGGUAGGCCUAACACAUGCAAGUCGAACGGCAGCACAGUAAGAGCUUGCUCUUACGGGUGGCGAGUGGCGGACGGGUGAGGAAUACAUCGGAAUCUACUUUUUCGUGGGGGAUAGCGUAGGGAAACUUACGCUAAUACCGCAUACGACCUACGGGUGAAAGCAGGGGAUCUUCGGACCUUGCGCGAUUGAAUGAGCCGAUGUCGGAUUAGCUAGUUGGCGGGGUAAAGGCCCACCAAGGCGACGAUCCGUAGCUGGUCUGAGAGGAUGAUCACCCACACUGGAACUGAGACACGGUCCAGACUCCUACGGGGGGCAGCAGUGGGGAAUAUUGGACAAUGGGCGCAAGCCUGAUCCAGCCAUACCGCGUGGGUGAAGAAGGCCUUCGGGUUGUAAAGCCCUUUUGUUGGGAAAGAAAAGCAGCAGGUUAAUACCCCGCUGUUCUGACGGUACCCAAAGAAUAAGCACCGGCUAACUUCGUG